CCAGGUUCUCAGUCUCUGGCAUCCCAUCC
rnacentral:piRNA from 1 species